rnacentral:rRNA from 1 species
CCUACGGGUGGCAGCAGUAGGGAAUCUUCCACAAUGGGCGAAAGCCUGAUGGAGCAACGCCGCGUGGGUGAAGAAGGUCUUCGGAUCGUAAAACCCUGUUGUUAGAGAAGAAAGUGCGUGAGAGUAACUGUUCACGUGUCGACGGUAUCUAACCAGAAAGCCACGGCUAACUACGUGCCAGCAGCCGCGGUAAUACGUAGGUGGCAAGCUUUAUCCGGAUUUAUUGGGCGUAAAGGGAAUGCAGGCGGUCUUUGACGGAUGAGGUGAAGGCCUUCGGCUUACCCGGAGUAGUGCAUUGGAAACUGGGAGCCUUGAGUGCAGCAGCGGCGAGUGGACCUCCCUGUGUAGCCG